AGUGAACGCUGGCGGUAGGCCUAACACAUGCAAGUCGAACGGCAGCACAGUAAGAGCUUGCUCUUACGGGUGGUGAGUGGCGGACGGGUGAGGAAUACAUCGGAAUCUACUUUUUCGUGGGGGAUAACGUAGGGAAACUUACGCUAAUACCGCAUACGACCUACGGGUGAAAGCAGGGGAUCUUCGGACCUUGCGCGAUUGAAUGAGCCGAUGUCGGAUUAGCUAGUUGGCGGGGUAAAGGCCCACCAAGGCGACGAUCCGUAGCUGGUCUGAGAGGAUGAUCAGCCACACUGGAACUGAGACACGGUCCAGACCCCUACGGGAGGCAGCAGUGGGGAAUAUUGGACAAUGGGCGCAAGCCUGAUCCAGCCAUACCGCGUGGGUGAAGAAGGCCUUCGGGUUGUAAAGCCCUUUUGUUGGGAAAGAAAAGCAGCAGGUUAAUACCCCGCUGUUCUGACGGUACCCAAAGAAUAAGCACCGGCUAACUUCGUG
rnacentral:rRNA from 1 species